GAUUGAACGCUGGCGGCAUGCUUUACACAUGCAAGUCGAACGGUAACAGGCCGCAAGGUGCUGACGAGUGGCGAACGGGUGAGUAAUGCAUCGGAACGUGCCCAGUCGUGGGGGAUAACGCAGCGAAAGCUGUGCUAAUACCGCAUACGAUCUAUGGAUGAAAGCGGGGGACCGAAAGGCCUCGCGCGAGUUGGGGCGGCCGAUGUCA
rnacentral:rRNA from 1 species